GCGAGCGCGGGCCUCCAGCCGCCGCGGCGGCCCGGCCAGAGGCCAGCGGGAGGAAAUGGAGCCGACCACAUCUGAGGCCUGCCGAAAGGAGCAGCAGCUGCCUCGGAGGCCGCCAGCACGCGAGAACCAGGAGACCCCUACUCUGCCGCCCAUCCCCACACCUCCCUCCCUCGAUUUUGGUGAUGCUGCUGGAUCCUGGUCCUCCUCCGUCCCCUUCACAGAGCUGCUCUCCACCCUUCCAACCUCACCCUCUCAGCUCUCCUGGAAACCUCACCUACCCCAAGGCUCCACUGCUCAGCUGGCACGAAUAACCCAAAAGCGUCCUUUCUCCUGGACUGUACCACAAGCUCCCAGCCUGCUCUCCAACUAGCACACAUGUUUCUACUUGGAUGCGACUUCAAUCCAACACAUUUAAAACCUAACUCGGCACCUGUCCUCCUUUUCCAGCAACUCCUCCUCUGGACGUUCCUUUUUUCAAAAGCCACAUGAAGAGCCAUUCUCCUGAGUAUCCUGGCUCACACCUUCCGUCAGCUUUGACGCCCUCCUCUUCAUGUUUCCAUGUGCAAGCAGAUCCUGGUCCUGUCAACCGCUCCUCUGCACAGUAUUGCAGAUCUGCCUUCUCUCCGUUUCCUGUCACUUACCUCUCACAGGGACAGCUGGAGGAGGCGCCCUGACCGGCCAGCCCAGCUUUCACCCCAGCACACCAAGCUGGGGAUCAGUCAACGCACUGAGCCCUGCGGGAACCCCAGCCCCCAGCUCCCAGGCCAGGGCGCCUUCUAAUUCGCUACUUCAGUCUUCUCUUCUGGUUUAAGUGAUAACAGUAAACACGUAGGUAAACAAAUAGGUAAGUGUGUCAAGGGCAAAAAAGACCCUUUCAUCUGACAGUGCCACUCCUAGGAAUUUAGGUUUAUAAACCUGCACUUCAGAAAAUCUUUUCUACACAAUAGCGAAAACUGAGAACUCAGGGUGAGGGGAGCAGCUUAGUAAAUUACGAUACAAUUGAGUGGGAUAUUAGAGUCAUCAAGACCCUUAGAUUAUGAACACCAAGGAAAAAAACUGGGUAAAGUGGGAAGUAAAAGUUGGGGAAUACCAUACUGCAUGAAUUUAUGAUUACAACUACGUACCAUAUGCAUGCAAAUCAUAAAAGAGGGAAGGUAGUUCUUUAAAUAAGUGAAAAUAGCUGUAGCAGCCCCAAAGAAUUAUGGAGCUUCACCUAUGGAUGCUAUCAGCACAUUUUAACAACCAUACCUUUUAUAUUUGCAUAUAUAUAAUUAUGUAUUCAUUUAUUUCCCCCCCCAACAAAUACGUAUUGAGCAUUUACUAUGUGAGUGUCAUUUCAGGCACUGGGGACACAGCAGUGAGGAAGCAGUCCCUGCCUCAUGGACAGAGACUUUUUAGAGGUUUGGAUUUGUCUUGCGUCCCAUUCAAAGAGCCGGGGGAACCCUGGUGGAUGACCCAAGAGAAUACAGGAAGGUCAUUAAGAAGAGAAUGACAAGGAAGGUAAAGAACAGUUUCAGCAGAAGAUGCAGCAAUGAGGAAGAUGCAGAGAUGGAGGAACAGGAAGGUCUGUCAUGCAAAGCAGAGGAUGACGAGGUGAAAACAAGAAACUCCCACUUCCCCGAGAUGACCGCAGUUUACACCCGGGAAGGAUGACAGUUCCUUUCCCCUACGCAACAUGCACUUAAUUUACAAAAUUGGGGUCGCUGAGUAUAUUCGUUUUUUUUAAAUAAUAAUUUCUCCUCUUGCUGUAUCACAAGUAUUUUCCUAUAGUGUUAACCCUACUUCAAAAUUUCAUUUCUUCCAAAGCUUUCCACGGUCCCUGGUAUGCAUCUGCGCAUAUGUACGGCCCCCGAGGUUGAAGGUCUAGCACUCUCACGUUUUGCUAGGUUCUCAAGACACGCAGUAACUGUAGGGUAGUUUUUUCCCUCUUCGUGUCACCUCUGUCCAGGCUUGUGAUUCCUCCAAGGGUGGGGAUGGAAAACUUGGCACUAAGCCAGGACUCUGGUCGGCUGAAGGGAUGGACUCUCCCAGCCCCACAGGCUGCAGGUAACCACCUUGAUAACCAACAGGCAGGAUUUCACUCACAUGAGCACGAGGGUUCCAUCUCAUCUGGGUGACAACUUAGGAGGAACGUCUCUAGUCUGCCUUUACAGAGAAAUAUUAUGCAGCCAUUAAAAGGAAUGAAAUACUGACACAUGCUACAACACGGAUAAACCCUGAAAACAUUAUGUUCAGUGAGAGAAGCCAGACACGAAAGGCCACAUAUUAUAUGACUCUAUUUAUGUGAAAUGUCCAGAGCAGGCAAAUCCAUAGAGACAAAAACAUUAGUGGUUGCCUAAGACUGAGGGGAGUGGAGGAAGUAAAAAGGGAGUGAAAGCUAGUGGGUAGAGUUUCUUUUCAGGGUGAUGGAAAUAUUCUUAAAUAGACAGUGGUGAUGACUGGACAACUCUGUGAAUAUACUAAAACCACUGAAUUGUACACUUUAAGUGGAGAAAUUGGAGAAAUUGUAUGUUAUGUAAAUUAUAUCUCAAUAAUUGUAACUGUAAUAAUUAUAACUGUAAUUGAAAAAAAAAACCUUUAGAGAAAACUUUCGUUUCUAUCUCUAUAAAAAGCUUUAAAACAAGAGCAGAAAAUGAACAUUUGCUCCAGGAGGGAAGGGCUGAGCUGGUGACCCUCUCCCCGAAGGAGAGAAAGGGACAGAGGAACGACAGGAACAUGAAAAUACUCUUCUUUGUACAUCCCUCACACAAGCACUGAUGACUCCUUUUACUUCCUCACUGGGUUACAAGUGAAAGUGAAAACAAGGGAGGCCUCAUCUCAGAGAAGGUGGUGGUGGCCAAGAGGGGGAGACCAUCCCCCCCCCCGAUCCACUGCCAAGUUUUGAAGGGAAGGACCCCUUAGGAGAGCAGGGUUGUCACUGCCGAGAGGAGAGGCAAGCGGGUGUGGCCAUGAGCUCUGACAGUGCAUGCUGGGGUCCCCAAAACUGAGAACCACUGACAUAAACCCAUGAAAUGUAGGCUGGUUCAGAAGAUCCUUAUUAUUUAAAAGAAAAAAGUUGGAGAGGGGAGUUCGCAAGAGUCAGUGAAAUAAAAACAAAUAAGAUCAAGAAUGUGUAUUAAGCAAUUAGCAUGCCCUUAAAAGUUAAAUUUUGUCGAAAAAAACAAGAAUCAAGUGUUUAAUACCCACAGUGUAAGAGGGGCUGCGAGAGAACCUCACAGUCAGUUACCUGUGACGUGUCCCCCUUGUAAUGCAAAUGACCACUGCACAGCCUCCACCCAUGGACGGGGGCAGGUGGGCAGGGGACCCACCAGCUCUGGCCCGGCCUCGGCCUUGGGACAUAGCCAAGGCUCCCACUUUGGCAGGCCACUAACCCCGAAGUGGCCAAGAGGAGUGAAUUCCCACACCCCCAACCCGAGGUGUCAUUCUGCAGAAAGCACCAGCCACGCCCUACUCAAGGCCGGUCUCAAGAGGGAGUGGCAGUGGCUAGACCAGCUCUUUUGUUUGGUUAGAAACAGGAGCAUAUUUUUAUUUGGCUUCAGUUAUCAGAGUGUUUUAGUGUGAGUUAUUCAGAUAUUUGCCCCUAUUUUUUUCCUACUUGACUCAGAGGCUGGAGAAAUGCUAAUAUAUAUAAUGCUUUCUACGUUUCAGGCAUGUUCUAAGAGCUUUAAUUUCUCCAGCCUCAUAACCCUUUACUUUACGCAAGAGAAAACUGAAGCCCAGGUGGUUAAGUAACUUGCCCCGAGGUGAUGCUGGCUGGACCAGUUUUAAAGUCCCUCUCUCCCACCAGCUCUGGCCUUGAUCCCUGGCUGACGCCAAACCAGCUAGGGGAGGGGUGCUGCGGCCUGGCACUGCGGACAGAGGGGCAAAGGGAAACAGGAGGAGUUCCCUGGAGAACUGGGCCCUGCCCCACCUCUCUGCCUGAGGAGCUGGCUGAUGAUAAAGACCCAGGAGCUAAGUGUUCACUGGGAGCUGGAGGAGCAUGUGACCAGGAGAGCACCUGAGCAGAGGGACCAGAUUCCCAGUCCCAGCUCUUCUAAGACUUGUACUGGACAAGUCACUUUAUCUAUCUGGGUCUCACUAUUCCUCACCUGCUCAAAAUAAUUUCUUUUUUAAUGUCAGGAAAAACUGAGGAUCUGCUCCAGAUUAAAGACUAAAAAAACCUGACCAACGAAUACAGGUGAUCUAGAGGUUUUUCUCCUACAAAAGAGGUUGUGUCAAUUGGCAAAAUUUGAAUAAGGUCUGUAGAUUCAUGUUAUUAGUGCUCACAAGGUCUGUAGAUUAAGUCAGUAACUAGUGUUGCAUCCAUGUUAAUUUCCUGAUUUUGGUCACUGCACUGUGGUUAUUUAUGUGAUUUUAGAAACUCCACACUCAAGUAUUUAGAAGUAAAAUGUGUCACAUUUGCUACUUACUUUCAAAUGGUUCAAAUAAAAAUUAUAGAGAAAGAGAGAGAAGAGUAAGGCAAAUGUAGCAACAUGUUAACAUUUGGGGAGUCUGAGCGAAGAGAAUUCUUUGUACUUAUUCUUGCAACUUUUCUGAAACUCUGAAAUUGCGCCAAAAUAAAAAUAUUUUUUAGAAAA